GCACCGGCUAACUCCGUGCCAGCAGCCGCGGUAAUACGGAGGUGCAAGCGUUAAUCGGAAUUACUGGGCGUAAAGCGCACGCAGGCGGUUUGUUAAGUCAGAUGUGAAAUCCCCCGCGCUUAACGUGGGAACUGCAUUUGAAACUGGCAAGCUAGAGUCUUGUAGAGGGGGUAGAAUUCCAGGUGUAGCGGUGAAAUGCGUAGAGAUCUGGAGGAAUACCGGUUGGCGAAGGCGGCCCCCUGGACAAAGACUGACGCUCAGAUUCGCGAAAGCGUGGGGAGCAAACCAGGAUUAGAUACCCUCGGUAA
rnacentral:rRNA from 1 species